UGUUCUGUGGCUAAGUUGGUUAAAGUGCCGGACUAGCGAUACGGUGUCGUAGGUUCGAGUCCCACCAAAAGAG
rfam:Aedes albopictus isolate Foshan contig112428, whole genome shotgun sequence.